GAGGGAAAAGGAGGCAGAGGCUUGGUGAGACAAAGUGACUGGCAGAACCAUGACGGUGGUUUAAGUGUGGAGAGCAAGGACUGUGGUAUACCAGGCUGGUGGUUAGAGGGACACUGAUGAGCCGCCACCUUUCCCCUGCUACACUGGACAGCAGGUUUUUUUAAAGACUCUUAAUCUGGAUUUUAAUACUUUUAAGACUCUUAACUAUAUAAAUAGAGCAUAAUCCAAAUAUGGGCCAAACUCAGCUACGCUAAACAAAAUGGAUCACUGAAGCGACUACACGUGUUUCCAAAAGAAAGGAGCUGGAAUUUAUUAAUGAACAUUGGACUACUUUAAAAAUCCGAACCAAAGAUACAUUUUCUUUUCAUCAUGAACAGUGAAUGAACAAAAUGGGACGGAAGCCAUUAAUGGACAUCUUUAUUAACAUUAUACUUUUGUGAUCUUCCUUCAUCUGCAUCUAAAUGGAAAAAGGAAAACCAGAUUGCAAAGACAGUUUCAUAAUUUUCAGCCUCACCGCUGAGUCAGACGGCAGCAUCAAGGAGAGCAGGAGGGAGAGAGAGAGAGGCUGCACUGCCGCCUUUACAGUGGACCCUCCUUUCACUUGCUUGAAACAGGAAGAGCACAGGUCGAAUUUAUAACAUUAACGAUCGCUGCCUCUCAGGGCUCUGCUAUUGUUCAUGCUCAGUCGCUGACAUGGUUCACUGGGACACUCAGAGCGGGGCCAUCGUUAAUGUUAUUUGUCACACCUGUGCUUUUCAUGCUUUGACAAGUCAAAAUGUCUGCCGUGAAAAGGGUCUAUGGCUAUCACUUCCUGUUUGCCGGCACUCAUUGCCCACCUUGUGACCAUAGCAAACAUGUUCAGCUGAAGGUGUGUUUUGGGUGAUUGCAGGUGGUCCCGGGGAGCUGAUUGUUUGCUGCCUGGAAGCCAAGAGUUUAAGGGCCGGUUGCUCGCAGUUCCUGCAGGCGCUCCUCCAUUUUCCCAGACUGCUAGCAUGUUUGUGCACAAGAUGUGUUUUGGCUAGAUGACAGAGACAGGUGUCCACAAAUGACGACAACAAGUCUAGGUUAGGCAAGAUGAGGUCUAAGGGGGAACCGAACUUUACUCGACCUUCCUUUCAGCAUAGGGCGUGCGGGUCAAGGAACAGCUCUGCAAAGCCUCACAGAGGACACUUAAUAAAAGGAUGUGGCCAGGAACCUCACAGCACACCAAAAAAGAAGAACUGACUAAUUCAUGUUAAUUAUUGUGCUAUGUUUAACCAACCAUCUGAAAAAGUUUCCGUUGUAGCGUGAUGAUGUCUGAUCUAGGGACAGUAAACUCUGAACUAACAAGAA